rnacentral:rRNA from 1 species
UACAGAGACUGCAAGCGUUAUUCGGAUUCACUGGGCGUAAAGGGUGCGCAGGCGGCCAAGUGUGUUGGGUGUGAAAGCCCGGGGCUUAACCCCGGAAUUGCUCCCAAAACUACAUGGCUAGAGCAUUGGAGAGGGUAGCGGAAUUCACGGUGUAGCAGUGAAAUGCGUAGAUAUCGUGAGGAACACCAGAGGCGAAGGCGGCUACCUGGACAAUUGCUGACGCUCAGGCACGAAAGCGUGGGGAG